rnacentral:tRNA from 1 species
GCCGAGAUAGCUCAGUCGGUAGAGCGGCUGAUUCGUAAUCAGUAGGUCGGAGGUUCGAUUCCUCUUCUCGGCACCA